GAUGAAGAACGUAGCGAAAUGCGAUACGUAAUGUGAAUUGCAGAAUUCAGUGAAUCAUCGAAUCUUUGAACGCAUAUUGCGCUCUCUGGUAUUCCGGAGAGCAUGCUUGUUUGAGUAUCAGUAAACACCUCAACUUCCAUAUCUUUUUUGAAAUGGGAGUUGGACUUGAGUGAUCCCAACGCUUUUCCUCACCGAAAAGUGGCGGGUUACUUGAAAUGCAGGUGCAGCUGGACUUUUCUCUGAGCUAUAAGCAUAUCUAUUUAGUCUGCCUAAAAAACAGAUUAUUACCUUUGCUGCAGCUAACAUAAAGGAGAUUAGUUCUUGUGCUGACUGAUGCAGGAUUCACAAAGACGGCUUCGGCCGACUUUGUAAACUCGAUCUCAAAUCAAGUAAGACUACCCGCUGAACUUAAGCAUAUCAAUAGCGGAGGA
rnacentral:misc_RNA from 1 species